UCGCUACUACCGAUUGAACAUUUUAGUGAGUUGCGAGGAGUGUAGGUUUUAGGGUUCGCCCUAACUCAAACGCGAGAAGCUGCAAACUUGGAUGUUUAGAGGAAGUAA
rnacentral:rRNA from 1 species